CUUCCGCUCGCACGUACCUAUCGUGUUUUUGGAGGCAUCGGUGGCCAACCCAGGGCUGGACAUGGGCCCAACCUUGCUUCCGACGGCCACACCCGGUGUCUCGUCGACAUGACGCACGCUGCUUGCCCUUUAGCUUGUAUUUAUCCCUUUGAUGGUUUGAUAACUCCGCCUCCCAAUUUUAUUCCCUCUUCCUCUUGUAAUUUACCUGUUCUUGGGAUCAACCACAUUCCUUCUUGAACCCUAACGGGACUCUGCCUUGGAAUCCCCAUCGCAAGAUUUCACCUUUAAUCCUUUCCCGGGUUUCUCAAAUCUCACUUGCCGGUUUCCUUCGCUUCUCUCCAUCGCAACGUCCCUGCUCGAUUCCGCCGGGAAAGGUGAUUGGUGAUUUAUCGGAGAGCAAAUGCCCGAAGAGGAUCUGAUCGAGCUCAAGUUCCGGCUGUUCGAUGGGUCGGACAUCGGGCCGAUCCGCUACUCUUCUACGUCCACCGUCGCCAUGCUCAAAGACAGGAUAAUCUCCGAGUGGCCACGAGAUAAGAAGAUUAUACCAGAGGUGGCUAAUGAUGUCAAACUGAUAAGUGCGGGCAAAAUAUUAGAGAACAAUAUGACGGUUGCCCAGUGCGCAUCAUCACCUUUUAGUGAACUUCCAGCAGGUGUGAUCACCAUGCAUGUUGUUGUGCAACCAUCUUCGACUAAAACUAAAACGGAUAUGUUGGUGAUAAGCGGAAGAAGGAUCUUGUUGAAGCAUUUGUGUGACAGGAUAAGCUCAAACACUUGCUAUGAGGAUAAACUGGUGGUAGUCAACUGGUAGUCAACUGAUGCAUUCAUUCUUGUAGUCACUGUAUUCUUUGGGGAUGCAAGGCCAUCGAGAAGGAAGUAAAAGAAUUAGACAAUGGGUUUGAAAGCAGAAAAGGACUCCAUUGGAUGAAGAAAAGAGGAAAUGUGCCCUCAAAUAGAAAGAAGUUUGGUGCGAGUAAAUACUAUUAGCAAACUAGCAGACAAGUCCUUUUCUUGCUUCAACCACUGACAGAGAACCAAGUGAUGUCGUAGGACAUUGGUGAUCUUGCAAUCGUGCCAUUGCUGAGCUUGGGAGCCCGAGAAGCACGUUGAUGCCCUUCCUCUUCCUCUCCUUCCCAUGGGACAGGAACAGGAUCACCUCCUUCUCAGGUAGAGUCACAGGCCCGGACUGCACUGGCUCCCCCCACCCGAAGUCCGUGGUGUGGAAGGACAGCCGAGACCAGGUUGUGAUCAGAAGAGUGGGCGUCAACGAAGGCCUCGCCCUCGUGGCUUCGAAGUAGUCCAUCGCCGAUCUCAUGUACUCAUCAGUCACCGUCUUGACUGCGUCCUGCACCAGUCCGACGGCGAACGAGAGCGGGCGGCCCAGAAGGUCCCCUGCCGUGCUCAGGCAGGCGGUGAGCAUGGUGCCGUUGCCGAAGUAGCCCUGCGGCAGCGGGGGAUCGAAUCGGGACCGCCCGUCGACCGCGAACAGGAGCUUCGUCUUUUGCCCCGGCUGCAGCCUCAGCGCCUCCGUCCGGGCUCUCCACACGUGGCCGGAGAGCGCCUCGAAGGUCGUGCACUUGGCGAGAGCUCCGUCUUCCAGAGCUCUCCUCUUCACGCGUCCGAGCUUCUCAGGCUCGAAGCAGAAGGACCUGUACGCCAUCUCUUCACCGUACAGUGCCGUGGUGUCGGAGACGUCUUCGAUCUCGGCGAACUCGUGGUGGGGAAAACUGACGAGAGGAGGAUUUCGAGACUCGAGAACGGUGCGGUCGACGAACGGCGGUACCGAUAUCGGCAGGCCUCGUGCCGUUUCGCCCCAGGAGUUGACGAACUCCAUCGCUCCCAACCCAUCGAACAUGCAGUGGUUGACGGCUAGCCCAAGGAUGAAUCCCCCGCUCCUGAACGUAGUGACCUGAAGGAAGCACGCGAUGAGCUUCCGAUGAUUGUAUGAUCGAAACAAGCUGCAAGGGUGCGAGUUCCGAACCUGAACGACCAAUGGCGGCAUCUCCAGCAAGUUAUUGGCACCGAGAAUGGUGUAGACGAGCUUGCCGAGAGUGUCGGGGUUAGGCUUCGUGAUGUCGCCAACGUCCUCCAUCUCGCAAUCUGCUUCAGCCUCCACGAACACCGCCCCUUCUCCGGUGCAAUCGACGAUGAGCUUCCCCUCGUCGCUGAUCGCCAGCCGCCCGGCCAGCGGGUAGUAGUGAACGAGGACCUUCGCCAGAGCCGCCUUGAUCACUUGCGCAGCUUCCUCGUUCCCCUUCUCCUGCGACCUGAAGCAGUAUACGGUCCGAACUAUGACCGCAAUGUUCUGGUCGAGGUUGGAGAGGAAGUAGAGGCCCUUCGCCGUCUCUUCCGCCGGCGGAACAAGCGUCGGUUCCCCUUGCUCCACGCAGAGUUCAAACUUCUCUCUCGGCUCUGCAAUCUGACCACCGCAUACACAAACAAAAAGUAUAGUCUCUGCACGUCAACCAUACAUACCGUCAAAACAUAGAACUGAGUUGAGAUGUAGUCUACCAUGUUCGACGGCUGAGACAUCUGAUUAGAAGCUCGAGAAAGAAGACGAGAGAUGGUUGGUUCCAUGGGGCUAACACACGGUGCAAUUUAUAGAGAGCUUGAGACGAGAAGUCGACUGGUGAAUGGGAGGCAUGCAGUGCACAGCUAACAGUUUUGAGAGCUCAGAGGAUGUGAGGCAUCACGAUCUCUUCUGUUGAUGUGAUUGACCUCCCAACCUACAGGAUUCCCAUAUCAUUGGCCCAAAUCAGCAAAGUUGCAUUGCGAGUGAUGAUUACCAUGGAUGACGAUAAUAGAUCAUGCUGGUCAUUGAAUGUUAGGAUGCUGCAGUCUUGGACUGCCAGUGUGAUGUCAGUGUCACUGGAUUAAGUGUCAUAAAUUGCAUUGCUGUAGAGGCGGGUGCAGACUCCAUCACACCACAACUAGCAAGGUUGCAUGCAUGGAGGAGGCCAUGAGUCACAUGGAAGGGGCUGUUGGCCUAUAUAUGCUUUGGUAAGCCUAAAAUAGUCAACUAAUAAUAGUGUGUUGAGAUUCUCAAAUCUAUCACAUCUAUAGGGCAGGCUGCCUCAUUUGAUCUGUA